GACAGAGGGUGCAAACGUUGCUCGGAAUCACUGGGCGUAAAGGGCGUGUAGGCGGGUAGAUAAGUCGGGCGUGAAAUCCCUAGGCUCAACCUAGGAACUGCACUCGAAACUGUUUAUCUUGAGUGCCGGAGAGGAAAGCGGAAUUCCUGGUGUAGAGGUGAAAUUCGUAGAUAUCAGGAGGAACACCAGUGGCGAAGGCGGCUUUCUGGACGGUAACUGACGCUGAGACG
rnacentral:rRNA from 1 species